AAUGAUCGUAGGGUGAACCUGCGGAAGGAUCAUUA
rnacentral:rRNA from 1 species